rnacentral:rRNA from 1 species
AACGUAGGAGACAAACGUUAUCCGGAGUUACUGGGCGUAAAGGGCGUGUAGGUGGUUUCGUAAGUCUGGCGUGAAAUUUUUCGGCUUAACCGGGAAAGGUCGUCGGAUACUGCAGAACUAGAGGACGGUAGAGGCGUGUGGAAUUCCGGGUGUAGUGGUGAAAUGCGUAGAGAUCCGGAGGAACACCAGUGGCGAAGGCGACACGCUGGGCUGUACCUGACACUGAUGCGCGACAGCAUGGGGAGCAAACAGG